GGCGGCCUAGGAUAGCUCUGCGGCCUAUCAGGUUGUAGCGAGGGUAACGUCCUCGCUAGCCUACGACGGGUAUGGGUGUUGGGAGACAUCGCCCAGAGAUGGAUUCUGAGACACGAAUCCAGGCCCUACGGGGCGCAGCAGGCGCGAAAACUGCACAAUGUGGGAAACCACGAUGCGGGAAGCCCAAGUGCCAGCGCUAUGCGUUGGCUGUCCUCAACCGUUCAUUGGUUGGGAAGAAAGUGCUGGGUAAGACGGGUGCCAGCCGCCGCGGUAAUACCCGCAGCACAAGUGGUGGCCAUUAUUAUUGGGCCUAAAGCGUCCGUAGCUUGCGUGUUAGAUGCCUGGGUAAAUCGAUACGCUUAACGCAUCGAAUUCCGGGUAGACCGGCACGCUCGAGACCGGGAGAGGUGUAGGCUACUCGAGGGGUAGGGGUAAAAUCCUGUAAUCCUUCGGGGAGGACCAGUGGCGAAGGCGCUACACUAGAACGGCUCUGACAGUGAGGGACGAAGCCCUGGGGCGCAAACCGGAUUAGAUACCCGGGUAGUCCAGGGUGUAAACGCUGCGGACUUGGUGUCGGUGAUCCUACGAGGGUUGCCGGUGCCGUAGAGAAGUUGUUUAGUCCGCCGCCUGGGGAGUACGGUCGCAAGACUGAAACUUAAAGGAAUU
rnacentral:rRNA from 1 species